rnacentral:rRNA from 1 species
AAAGAUGGCUUCGGCUAUCACUUUGGGAUGGACCUGCGGCGCAUUAGCUUGUUGGUAGGGUAACGGCCUACCAAGGCUGUGAUGCGUAKCCKAGUUGAGAGACUGAUCGGCCACAAUGGAACUGAGACACGGUCCAUACUCCUACGGGAGGCAGCAGUAGGGAAUCUUCCACAAUGGGCGCAAGCCUGAUGGAGCAACACCGCGUGAGUGAAGAAGGGUUUCGGCUCGUAAAGCUCUGUUGUUAGAGAAGAACGUGCGUGAGAGUAACUGUUCACGCAGUGACGGUAUCUAACCAGAAAGUCACGGCUAACUACGUGCCAGCAGCCGCGGUAAUACGUAGGUGGCAAGCGUUAUCCGGAUUUAUUGGGCGUAAAGCGAGCGCAGGCGGUUUGAUAAGUCUGAUGUGAAAGCCUUUGGCUUAACCAAAGAAGUGCAUCGGAAACUGUCAGACUUGAGUGCAGAAGAGGACAGUGGAACUCCAUGUGUAGCGGUGGAAUGCGUAGAUAUAUGGAAGAACACCAGUGGCGAAGGCGGCUGUCUGGUCUGCAACUGACGCUGAGGCUCGAAAGCAUGGGUAGCGAACAGGAUUAGAUACCCUGGUAGUCCAUGCCGUAAACGAUGAGUGCUAGGUGUUGGAGGGUUUCCGCCCUUCAGUGCCGCAGCUAACGCAUUAAGCACUCCGCCUGGGGAGUACGACCGCAAGGUUGAAACUCAAAGGAAUUGACGGGGGCCCGCACAAGCGGUGGAGCAUGUGGUUUAAUUCGAAGCUACGCGAAGAACCUUACCAGGUCUUGACAUCUUGCGCCAACCCUAGAGAUAGGGCGUUUCCUUCGGGAACGCAAUGACAGGUGGUGCAUGGUCGUCGUCAGCUCGUGUCGUGAGAUGUUGGGUUAAGUCCCGCAACGAGCGCAACCCUUGUUACUAGUUGCCAGCAUUCAGUUGGGCACUCUAGUGAGACUGCCGGUGACAAACCGGAGGAAGGUGGGGACGACGUCAGAUCAUCAUGCCCCUUAUGACCUGGGCUACACACGUGCUACAAUGGACGGUACAACGAGUCGCGAACUCGCGAGGGCAAGCUAAUCUCUUAAAACCGUUCUCAGUUCGGACUGCAGGCUGCAAUAU